rnacentral:rRNA from 1 species
UAGGGAAUCUUCCACAAUGGACGCAAGUCUGAUGGAGCAACGCCGCGUGAGUGAAGAAGGUUUUCGGACCGUAAAGCUCUGUUGUUGGUGAAGAAGGAUAGAGGUAGUAACUGGCCUUUAUUUGACGGUAAUCAACCAGAAAGUCACGGCUAACUACGUGCCAGCAGCCGCGGUAAUACGUAGGUGGCAAGCGUUGUCCGGAUUUAUUGGGCGUAAAGCGAGCGCAGGCGGAAGAAUAAGUCUGAUGUGAAAGCCCUCGGCUUAACCGAGGAAUUGCAUCGGAAACUGUUUUCUGAGUGCAGAAGAGAGAGUAGAACUCCAUGUGUAGCGGUGGAAUGCGUAGAUAUAUGGAAGAAUACCAGUGGCGAAGGCGGCUCUCUGGUCUGCAACUGACGCUGAGGCUCGAAAGCAUGGGUAGCGAACAGGAUUAGAUACCCUGGUAGUCCAUGCCGUAAACGAUGAGUGCUAAGUGUUGGGAGGCUUCCGCCUCUCAGUGCUGCAGCUAACGCAUUAAGCACUCCGCCUGGGGGAGUACGACCGCAAGGUUGAA